UUUUGUUGGAUGAGAAUUCCAGUAAUUAGGGGAAUUCUAGCCACGUAUGAAGUUCUGAUGUGAUUGUGGUGAUAAUAAACCAAAGAGAUAAUUUGUUGCACACAUACCAACCUAGCAUGUUUUGGUAGGAAAUAAAUAGAUAGUUUAAUGUUUUUUUUCUUUUAAUAUGAUUUGUGUGAUGGAUGGUUGCAAGUGUUCGGUUUAUGUGAUUGAAUUUGCUAUUUUUUUCCUUAUUUUUUCGUUCCAAAGUUAUCUGGGGUUUUUUUUAGUCUAAUACCAUCCCUUGCACUUGCAUUAAGAACUUCCGUGGGCAUUUUCAAGUUUUGUAUCUUUUACAGCAUACAUGGCUGACUCCAAUGGUGAUGGUUAUAGCAAAACUAAAGAUGUUAAUGCAACUGACAAUCAUGGUUUUUUUUUUCCCUCUGCCACAACUUGACAGUCAUUGAAAUCAACUGAUUCGGGAAGGGCUCAAAAGAAGGUUGAACAAGAGCAGAUACCAAGUAGCCAAUUCAAGACAAGGCAUAGCCAAUAGUUGAAGUUCUGGGUAAAUUCUUUUGCAUAGGUCCUAGUUUAGGAGGGGAAAGUGUUUAGUUAGGAGUGUUAAAGUCAAUUUUUGUUGGAGUGGGCCACUUUUCUCAUUUCCUCUUUUAUUGAAUUGAGUUGUUACCAAUUUUGUGAAUAGAAUUCUUAUCAAACAAUAGUGUGAAUUAUUUUUUGAAUGACUAUCAGGUGCAAGAUUAAAAAAAUAAUAAUAAUAAUUUAUCAAUAUAUUUUUUAUUUA